rnacentral:rRNA from 1 species
UACGUAGGGUGCGAGCGUUGUCCGGAAUUACUGGGCGUAAAGAGCUCGUAGGUGGUUUGUCGCGUUGUCCGUGAAAACUCACAACUCAAUUGUGGGCGUGCGGGCGAUACGGGCAGACUGGAGUACUGCAGGGGAGACUGGAAUUCCUGGUGUAGCGGUGGAAUGCGCAGAUAUCGGGAGGAACACCAGUGGCGAAGGCGGCUUCCUGGACCGGUUCUGACACUGAGGAGCGAAAGCGUGGGGAGCGAUCCGG